ensembl:lncRNA
UUUUUUUUUUUAAAGACCCGCGGCUGGUUAAUUGGCUGCACGCUAUUGAAAAAGGGGGCGCGUCCGAUUGAUUUGUGAACUCUUGGUGCGUCUCCUUUACAGGAGCGUCACAAUAGGCGGAGCUAAAAUCUCUAUUUGCGCUUUUUGGGAGCUGUAGUUUUGUAUUGUUCUUGAUUUACUGACCAUUCUGUUUAAAAACUACAUUGUCGUACUGUUCAAAACUUCCGUAAAUAUAACCAGCUCGUGAGUAACGUUAGCUAGCAAGCCAGAUACUUAGAAAACCUCGUGGAUAUCCUGUAUAAACAACGUUCCUGGACGACCUUCUCGGAUAGUCGCGCUGUCUUGUGGCCUCAUAUUACGCCCCAUCAGGGACUGACCAACUCUUCUCACUCAGCUGAGAGUUUUAAGAUGCAGGAUAAAGACAGAAGGUUGCUGGAUAUGAGCACACGUUCCCUCAAUAGUGAUUCACCCCUGGUCAGCCCUGAGGGACUCGGCUGUUCUGACUUCUCCUCUUUGGAGAGCAUAGGUGAGCCAGUUGGACAGCCAUUGGAGAGGAGCCUACACCGCUCAGACCCUGCCAUUACAAACUUGGCCUUCUCAAAACAUCUGGCACCCACACAACCUUCAGUAGUGGGCUAUUCUGCUUCACGUGUGAAGCCAGAGGAUGAUAUUCUGUUCCAGUGGAGACUCAGGAGGAAGAUGGAGCAGUCAGGCCAUCAGCUUCAGUGUCUUCUCCAACGCUCCGUCCCUCACAGCUCUCUCGGCAGCCUUCCACAACAAAUGACUCAGAAUAACUGGCUUAUCAGGGACCUCUCAAGUACAGUGGAGGGCACUUUCACUCGUGCCCCACCAGAAACACGUGCUCAGGACCCCUCUCUUCCCUUUACCUUUCCACAGCCCAGUUUGUCAGCGUUCCAGCCUAAGCACCACAUCUCUCCACACACAUCCCCCUUCAACGGUGGCCCGCCAUGCCCUCUCCAAAGCUCUCCCAUAUUAUUGCCCAAUGAGAGUAGGCAGCCGCGGAAGAAGAGUUCCACUGAUCCUGACAUGUGCGCACAAUUAUCAUCAGACCAGCUCAGCUUCCAAAAUGCCUUGAGCAACCAGCGCAACAAACUCCAUUCAUCCCUUCAUCAGCACCUCCCUGAAAACAAAGAGGGACACCGCCGUCUUAUCUCCAGGACGAGUGGGAAAGGAGGGAAAAGUGCAAUGUCACAGGGGGAAGGAACAGAGGCUGAGACGGGAAAGAAAAGAAAUGGCACUUCCUCCAGUAAACAAAAGGGUUCGAGACAUGGAAGGCAUGUGGAUCAUGCAGCCAGGCCUCACCCUGCCAUGGGAGGAAGAGGAGGAGGAGGAGGAGGAGGAGGAGGAGGAGGAGGAGGCCCAGAUGGCAAGAGGCAUGGCAAGGAACGAAGACGGGAAGCUUUACCUUUCUCUCCCGUACACAGCACUCUUGGAAUGGUGGUCUCGGAAGUUCUUUUUCCUGAUUCGGGAUCCGCAGACACCUCCAGAAUGUCAAGCCUCACUGACUCUUGUGAAGAUACUCAACCAUUUCCACCACAGACCUGUACCAAUCCUCAUAGCCUGCAGAGCCCUUCAGAGAUCAUUACUAAGCUUCUCAAGGAGGCAGAGGAUUCAGAUGAGCUGGAGUUUGAGGACGACCCCUUACUGCUGGUACUGAGAGAGCAGAGAGGCUGUGUGAAGCAACGCAUAUGCGAGAUGGAUAUGUUGCUUGAAGCAUGGCAUGAAAAACAACCCCUCUGACAUUUCAGAAUCUCUCCAAAUACACUCAAUCCUGUAUAAUUUUAACUUAUUGUAAAUAAAUUAUGAAUGUUGAAAAUGUUAACA